GGUCCCGUCGUCUAGUGGUCUAGGACGCCGGCCUCUCAAGCCGGUAACGCCAGUUCGAAUCUGGUCGGGACUGCCA
rnacentral:tRNA from 1 species